GACGAACGCUGGCGGCGUGCCUAAUACAUGCAAGUCGAGCGGACGUUGUUGGAGCUUGCUCCAACAAUGUUAGCGGCGGACGGGUGAGUAACACGUGGGCAACCUGCCUUAACGACUGGGAUAACUCCGGGAAACCGGGGCUAAUACCGGAUAACAUCUAGCACCUCCUGGUGCAAGAUUAAAAGAGGGCCUCUGGCUCUCACGUUAAGAUGGGCCCGCGGCGCAUUAGCUAGUUGGAGAGGUAAUGGCUCCCCAAGGCGACGAUGCGUAGCCGACCUGAGAGGGGGAUCGGCCACACUGGGACUGAGACACGGCCCAGACUCCUACGGGAGGCAGCAGUAGGGAAUCUUCCGCAAUGGACGAAAGUCUGACGGAGCAACGCCGCGUGAGUGAAGAAGGGUUUCGGCUCGUAAAGCUCUGUUAUGAGGGAAGAACACGUACCGUUCGAAUAGGGCGGUACCUUGACGGUACCUCAUCAGAAAGCCACGGCUAACUACGUGCCAGCCGCCGCGGUAAAAC
rnacentral:rRNA from 1 species